rnacentral:RNase_P_RNA from 17 species
AAAGUUGACUAGACAGUCGCUGCUUCGCUUUUAUCAAAUAGCGUAGGAGAGGAAAGUCCGGGCUCCAUAGGGCAAGGUGCCAGGUAACACCUGGGGAGUGUAAGCUCACGACAAGUGCAACAGAAAGCAAACCGCCAAUAACCAAUUUUUUGGGAUAAGGUAAGGGUGAAAAGGUGUGGUAAAAGCGCACCACGUAGCUGGUAACAGUGUACGGUAUGGUAAACUCCACCUGGAGCAAGGCCAAAAAGAGGUUAAAAGUGUAGCCCGCAUUUAAACCAGGGUAGGCUGCUGGAACUAGUAUGUGAGUACUAGUCUAGAUAAAUGACUGUCCAAGACAGAACCCGGCUUAACGGUCAACUUCACUC